GGCUGCAGCACCAGAGCAGGAGUUUGUGUAUAACUGGGGCCGAGUGUUCCCCCUCGGCUGGCGGCCUUUUUAACCGUGAGUGACAUGG